GUGUGGUGUCUCCAUCUGCUAUUUGUCCUCCCCCCUCUUUCUCUAUUGUCCCCCCCUCCUCCUUGCUGUCCUUUUCUUUGCUCCCCCUCUCUCUCUCCCCCCCACCACUCCCUCUACCCCCCCUUGCCCCCCACCCUCCCUCUCCUUACCUGUCUCGGCAGCCUCCUGUCCAGGAGCGUUGGCUCUUCCUCUCUCCACUGCUGCUUCAGGCUUUGGGUGCAGUUGCCGGAUCCGUCCAGCAGGUGGCGUCUGAAGCUCCAGUUGCCAUGGGUACUGCGCUGCAGGUGAUGGACUCCUCUUUUCAAACUGCU